AUUUAAAUUAAAAAAAAAAAGUAUUAUUUACAUUAAUAAUGUUUCAUCAUGAUCUGAUGUCUUCAAAUGCAAUGGCUACAAUCAAAAUUUAUUAUUCAGUAAUUUCAAUUUAAGCUCAAAAAGUUAUUCAGCAAAACCUGUAUGCUGUCCUCAGGAAGAUGUAGAGUUGGGCCAUUAUGUGUAUCUCAACAGGAGAUACCCUAAGCUGAGGAGGAGGAGGAGGGUAGCUCCAAAGUCCUGGUGGCGGACCUAUCACAGGACAGGCAGAAGGCAACCGAGAUCAAAGUCUAUCCAAUGGAAAGCAAAUGCUAGAUAUAGGAGGGGAAGUGUCUGUCCUGAUUACGACAAACUCCUAUGUAUUUACUGAGACAGGGAGGAAGAAG